GACGAACGCUGGCGGCGUGCUUAACACAUGCAAGUCGAGCGGUAAGGCCCUUUCGGGGGUACACGAGCGGCGAACGGGUGAGUAACACGUGGGUGACCUGCCCUCAGCUCUGGGAUAAGCCUGGGAAACUGGGUCUAAUACUGGAUAUGACUCCACGGUGCAUGUCGGUGGGGUGGAAAGCCUUGUGCGGCUGAGGAUGGGCCCGCGGCCUAUCAGCUUGUUGGUGGGGUGAGGCCUACCAAGGCGACGACGGGUAGCCGGCCUGAGAGGGCGACCGGCCACACUGGGACUGAGACACGGCCCAGACUCCUACGGGAGGCAGCAGUGGGGAAUCUUGCGCAAUGGGCGAAAGCCUGACGCAGCGACGCCGCGUGAGGGAUGACGG
rnacentral:rRNA from 1 species